UGUAAUUUAAAAAAUUUAAUUUAAAUUUAUUUUACAUAUAAAUUUUAGUGUUAAUUUUUAAUUAUUUUAAUAAUUUUUUAAAAAUGAUUGGUAGUAAUUAAAAUUAUAAAUUUAAGAAAUUAAGAUUUAGUAAUAUUUAUAUUUAUUAACAAAUUUUGUGCCAGCAGUUGCGGUUAUACAAAUAAUAAUUUAAAUUUUAUUAGUAAAUAAUUAGUAUAAUAAGAAAAAAAUUAAAUAUUAAUUUAUUAGGUAAAAUUUUAAUUUAAUAAAAAUUUUAAUUAAUUAUAUGAUUUAUUAAAUUUUGAAAAAAACUAGGAUUAGAUACCCUAUUAUUAAAAAUUAAAUUAAUAAUACUAAAUUAGUAUAUAAUAAUUUAUAAAAACUUAAAUAAUUUGGCGGUAUUUUAGUUCAUUUAGAGGAAUCUGUUUAAUAAUUGAUAAUCCACGAAUAAAUUUACUUAAUUUAUAAAUUUUGUAUAUCGUUGUUAAAAAAAUAUUUUUUAAUAAAAAUAAUAUUUUAAAAUUAUAAAUAUAAUUUAGUUCAGAUCAAGAUGCAGAUUAUAAUUAAGAAUAUAAUGGAUUACAAUAUAUAAUAAAUAAAUGGAUAUUAUUGUUUAAUAAAUAUUUGAAAAUGGAUUUAAAUGUAAUUUUAUUUAAUUUAUUAAAAUGAUUAUAAAUUAAAAUAUGUACAUAUUGCCCGUCGCUUUCAUAUAUAAAUUGAAAUAAGUCGUAACAAAGUAGAAGUACUGGAAAGUGUUUCUAGAAAG
rnacentral:ncRNA from 1 species